rnacentral:siRNA from 1 species
CACAUCCGUUACAGUUCCGUUGC